GAUGAACGCUGGCGGCGUGCCUAAUACAUGCAAGUCGAGCGAACGGACGCGAAGCUUGCUUCUCUGAUGUUAGCGGCGGACGGGUGAGUAACACGUGGAUAACCUACCUAUAAGACUGGGAUAACUUCGGGAAACCGGAGCUAAUACCGGAUAAUAUUUUGAACCGCAUGGUUCAAAAGUGAAAGACGGCCUUGCUGUAACUUAUAGAUGGAUACGCGCUGCAUUAGCUAGUUGGUAAGGUAACGGCUUACCAAGGCAACGAUGCAUAGCCGACCUGAGAGGGUGAUCGGCCACACUGGAACUGAGACACGGUCCAGACUCCUACGGGAGGCAGCAGUAGGGAACCGUCCGCAAAGGGCGAAAGCCUGACGGAGCAACGCCGCGUGAGUGAUGAAGGUCUUCGGAUCGUAAAACUCUGUUAUUAGGGAAGAACAUAUGUGUAAGUAACUGUGCACAUCGUGACGGUACCUAAUCAGAAAGCCACGGCUAACUACGUG
rnacentral:rRNA from 1 species